AUUGAACGCUGGCGGCAGGCCUAACACAUGCAAGUCGAACGAUUGGCGGACGGGUGAGUAAUGUCUGGGAAACUGCCUGAUGGAGGGGUAUAACUACUGGAAACGGUAGCUAAUCCCGCAUACCAUCAGAUGUGCCCAGAUGGGAUUAGCUUUUUGGUGGGGUAACGGCUCACCAAGGCGACGAUCCCUAGCUGGUGUGAGAGGCUAACCAGCCACACUGGAACUGAGAGACGGUCCAGACUCCUAAGGGAGGCAGCGGUGGGGAAUAUUGCACAAUGGGGGCAAGCCUGAUGCAGCCAUGCCGCGUGUAUGAAGAAGGCCUUCGGGUUGUAAAGUACUUUCAGCGGGGAGGAGUUACCCGAAGAAGAAGCACCGGCUAACUCCGUGCAAGCCGCCGCGGUAAUAC
rnacentral:rRNA from 1 species